rnacentral:tRNA from 2 species
GCGCGUGUAACUCAGUGGUUAGAGUACUGUCUUCACAUGGCAGGAGCCGCUGGUUCGAAUCCAGCCACGCGCA